GCCAGCCCGCUCAGAAACUUACAUGAAUUGACGGGGCCCGCACAAGCGGAGGAACAUGUGGUUUAAUUCGAUGAUACGCGAGGAACCUUACCUGGGCUUAAAUGUAGAGUGCAUUUUUUUAGAGAUAGAAAUUCCCUUCGGGGCUUCUGCAAGGUGCUGCAUGGUUGUCGUCAGCUCGUGCCGUGAGGUGUCGGGUUAAGUCCCAUAACGAGCGCAACCCUUAUCGUUAGUUGCCAGCUGGUAAAGCAGGGGACUCUAGCGAAACUGCCACCGUAAGGUGAGAGGAAGGUGGGGAUGACGUCAAAUCAGCACGGCCCUUAUGUCCAGGGCUACACACGUGUUACAAUGGCCGGCACAGAGGGCAGCUACCUGGUGACAGGAUGCUAAUCUCGAAAACCGGUCUCAGUUCGGAUCGAAGCCUGCAACUCGACUUCGUGAAGCUGGAUUCGCUAGUAAUCGUGGAUCAGCAUGCCACGGUGAAUACGUUCCCGGGCCUU
rnacentral:rRNA from 1 species